UGAGCUUGAUCCUGGCUCAGAUUGAACGCUGGCGGCAGGCCUAACACAUGCAAGUCGAGCGGAAACGAUGGAAGCUUGCUUCCAGGCGUCGAGCGGCGGACGGGUGAGUAAUGCAUAGGAAUCUGCCCGAUAGUGGGGGAUAACGUGGGGAAACCCACGCUAAUACCGCAUACGUCCUACGGGAGAAAGCAGGGGAUCUUCGGACCUUGCGCUAUCGGAUGAGCCUAUGUCGGAUUAGCUAGUUGGUGAGGUAAUGGCUCACCAAGGCGACGAUCCGUAGCUGGUCUGAGAGGAUGAUCAGCCACACUGGGACUGAGACACGGCCCAGACUCCUACGGGAGGCAGCAGUGGGGAAUAUUGGACAAUGGGGGAAACCCUGAUCCAGCCAUGCCGCGUGUGUGAAGAAGGCCUUCGGGUUGUAAAGCACUUUCAGCGAGGAAGAAGGCCUGAGGGUUAAUACCCUUCAGGAAGGACAUCACUCGCAGAAGAAGCACCGGCUAACUCCGUGCCAGCAGCCGCGGUAAUACGGAGGGUGCGAGCGUUAAUCGGAAUUACUGGGCGUAAAGCGCGCGUAGGUGGCUUGAUAAGCCGGUUGUGAAAGCCCCGGGCUCAACCUGGGAACGGCAUCCGGAACUGUCAGGCUAGAGUGCAGGAGAGGAAGGUAGAAUUCCCGGUGUAGCGGUGAAAUGCGUAGAGAUCGGGAGGAAUACCAGUGGCGAAGGCGGCCUUCUGGACUGACACUGACACUGAGGUGCGAAAGCGUGGGUAGCAAACAGGAUUAGAUACCCUGGUAGUCCACGCCGUAAACGAUGUCGACUAGCCGUUGGGUUCCUUGAGAACUUUGUGGCGCAGUUAACGCGAUAAGUCGACCGCCUGGGGAGUACGGCCGCAAGGUUAAAACUCAAAUGAAUUGACGGGGGCCCGCACAAGCGGUGGAGCAUGUGGUUUAAUUCGAUGCAACGCGAAGAACCUUACCUACCCUUGACAUCGUGCGAACUUGGUAGAGAUACCUUGGUGCCUUCGGGAACGCACAGACAGGUGCUGCAUGGCUGUCGUCAGCUCGUGUUGUGAAAUGUUGGGUUAAGUCCCGUAACGAGCGCAACCCUUGUCCCUAUUUGCCAGCGAUUCGGUCGGGAACUCUAGGGAGACUGCCGGUGACAAACCGGAGGAAGGUGGGGACGACGUCAAGUCAUCAUGGCCCUUACGGGUAGGGCUACACACGUGCUACAAUGGUCGGUACAAAGGGUUGCAAUGCCGCGAGGUGGAGCUAAUCCCAUAAAGCCGAUCUCAGUCCGGAUCGGAGUCUGCAACUCGACUCCGGAAGUCGGAAUCGCUAGUAU
rnacentral:rRNA from 1 species